rnacentral:tRNA from 1 species
GCAAUGGUAGAAUUCUUGCCUUCCAUGUGGGAGACCUGGGUUCGAUUCCCAGCCAAUGCA